GACGAACGCUGGCGGCGUGCUUAACACAUGCGAGUCGAACGGAAAGGCCCUGCUUUUGUGGGGUGCUCGAGUGGCGAACGGGUGAGUAACACGUGAGUAACCUGCCCUUGACUUUGGGAUAACUUCAGGAAACUGGGGCUAAUACCGGAUAGGAGCUCCUGCUGCAUGGUGGGGUUGGAAAGUUUCGGCGGUUGGGGAUGGACUCGCGGCUUAUCAGCUUGUUGGUGGGGUAGUGGCUUACCAAGGCUUUGACGGGUAGCCGGCCUGAGAGGGUGACCGGCCACAUUGGGACUGAGAUACGGCCCAGACUCCUACGGGAGGCAGCAGUGGGGAAUAUUGCACAAUGGGCGGAAGCCUGAUGCAGCAACGCCGCGUGCGGGAUGACGGCCUUCGGGUUGUAAGCCGCUUUCGCCUGUGACGAAGCGUGAGUGACGGUAAUGGGUAAAGAAGCACCGGCUAACUACGUG
rnacentral:rRNA from 1 species